rnacentral:rRNA from 1 species
UACGAAGGGGGCUAGCGUUGCUCGGAAUCACUGGGCGUAAAGCGCGCGUAGGCGGAUUGUUAAGUCAGGGGUGAAAUCCUGGAGCUCAACUCCAGAACUGCCUUUGGUACUGGCGAUCUCGAGUCCGGGAGAGGUGAGUGGAACUGCGAGUGUAGAGGUGAAAUUCGUAGAUAUUCGCAAGAACACCAGUGGCGAAGGCGGCUCACUGGCCCGGUACUGACGCUGAGGUGCGAAAGCGUGGGGAGCAAACAGG